UCUACCAUGCAGUCGAACGGUGAACACGGAGCUUGCUCUGUGGGAUCAGUGGCGAACGGGUGAGUAACACGUGAGCAACCUGCCCCUGACUCUGGGAUAAGCGCUGGAAACGGCGUCUAAUACUGGAUAUGUGACGUGACCGCAUGGUCUGCGUUUGGAAAGAUUUUUCGGUUGGGGAUGGGCUCGCGGCCUAUCAGCUUGUUGGUGAGGUAAUGGCUCACCAAGGCGUCGACGGGUAGCCGGCCUGAGAGGGUGACCGGCCACACUGGGACUGAGACACGGCCCAGACUCCUACGGGAGGCAGCAGUGGGGAAUAUUGCACAAUGGGCGAAAGCCUGAUGCAGCAACGCCGCGUGAGGGAUGACGGCCUUCGGGUUGUAAACCUCUUUUAGCAGGGAAGAAGCGAAAGUGACGGUACCUGCAGAAAAAGCGCCGGCUAACUACGUGCCAGCAGCCGCGGUAAUACGUAGGGCGCAAGCGUUAUCCGGAAUUAUUGGGCGUAAAGAGCUCGUAGGCGGUUUGUCGCGUCUGCUGUGAAAUCCCGAGGCUCAACCUCGGGCCUGCAGUGGGUACGGGCAGACUAGAGUGCGGUAGGGGAGAUUGGAAUUCCUGGUGUAGCGGUGGAAUGCGCAGAUAUCAGGAGGAACACCGAUGGCGAAGGCAGAUCUCUGGGCCGUAACUGACGCUGAGGAGCGAAAGGGUGGGGAGCAAACAGGCUUAGAUACCCUGGUAGUCCACCCCGUAAACGUUGGGAACUAGUUGUGGGGUCCAUUCCACGGAUUCCGUGACGCAGCUAACGCAUUAAGUUCCCCGCCUGGGGAGUACGGCCGCAAGGCUAAAACUCAAAGGAAUUGACGGGGACCCGCACAAGCGGCGGAGCAUGCGGAUUAAUUCGAUGCAACGCGAAGAACCUUACCAAGGCUUGACAUAUACGAGAACGGGCCAGAAAUGGUCAACUCUUUGGACACUCGUAAACAGGUGGUGCAUGGUUGUCGUCAGCUCGUGUCGUGAGAUGUUGGGUUAAGUCCCGCAACGAGCGCAACCCUCGUUCUAUGUUGCCAGCACGUAAUGGUGGGAACUCAGGGGAUACUGCCGGGGUCAAUUCGGAAGGAAGGUGGGGAUGACGUCAAAUCAUCAGGCCCCUUAUGUCUUGGGCUUCCCGCA
rnacentral:rRNA from 1 species